rnacentral:rRNA from 1 species
GUGCCUAACACAUGCAAGUCGAACGGUAACAGGUCUUCGGAUGCUGACGAGUGGCGCACGGGUGAGUAACGCGUGGAUAUCUGCCUAUUAGUGGGGGACAACUUGUGGAAACGCAAGCUAAUACCGCAUAAUCCCUACGGGGGAAAGCAGGGGACCUUCGGGCCUUGUGCUGAUAGAUGAGUCCGCGUCUGAUUAGCUAGUUGGUAGGGUAAAGGCCUACCAAGGCGAUGAUCAGUAUCUGGUUUGAGAGGAUGAUCAGACACACUGGAACUGAGACACGGUCCAGACUUCUACGGAAGGCAGCAGUGGGGAAUAUUGCACAAUGGGCGCAAGCCUGAUGCAGCGACGCCGCGUGUGGGAAGAAGGCUUUAGGGUUGUAAACCACUUUCAAUUGGGAAGAAGAGAUGAGAGUUAAUAACUUUCUGAUUUGACGGUACCUUUAGAAGAAGCACCGGCUAAUUUCGUGCCAGCAGCCGCGGUAAUACGAAAGGUGCAAGCGUUGUUCGGAUUUACUGGGCGUAAAGAGAGUGUAGGUUGUUUAUUAAGUCGGAUGUGAAAUCCCGGGGCUCAACCUCGGAACUGCAUUCGAUACUGGUAGACUAGAGUUCGGGAGGGGUAAGCGGAAUUCCGUGUGUAGCAGUGAAAUGCGUAGAUAUACGGAGGAACACCUGAGGCGAAGGCGGCUUACUGGACCGAUACUGACACUGAGACUCGAAAGCGUGGGUAGCAAACAGGAUUAGAUACCCUGGUAGUCCACGCCCUAAACGAUGUCAACUAGCCGUUGCGGGUAUCGACCCCUGCAGUGGCGAAGCUAACGCGAUAAGUUGACCGCCUGGGGAGUACGGUC